rnacentral:lncRNA from 1 species
UUUAAUCUGCACAGAAUAAAAAGGUAGGUCUUAUUAUUUUGUUUUGUCUUUGGGAAAGGGUUGCCAUCUACCUCUUGCUAGGAGCAAUGGAUUUAUAUCUAAAAAAAUUGAGAUACCUUGAAUGAAAGGUAUAUAUUUGUCCUCCGCAAAAAAUGUAUAUAUUUGAAAUAUAAAAAUUUAUUGCUCUAAAUCACAAAAGAGGAGCAGUUGCCUCCAAUUUAGCGCGCAAGUGGUGGAAUAAAAUUGCAGAGGAGAAAAACAUAACACGGUUACACAUAUUAUGCCCCAAAUGUUGAGCUUCAUGCCUGCCGGUUGGAAUCUCUUGCCCUUAAACUGCAGCCACAUAAUGACCUACUGAUUCAAAAUCAAAGAGAAUGAAAAAAUAUGAUGCAUUAGAUGGAAAAAGUAAACUAACCAAGAUAAUAGUGAAUCCUGUAAUGCAAAUAAGAUGCUGAAAGUUCCCCGCAAAAAAAAAGAUGCUGAAAGGAAUAAUAUGCUUAGAAGUGAGAUGGAAGAGAAACCCCGUGGUUUAUACCUCAGUGGUCACAAUUGUCGCAAUGUAUAGCCAGUGUUUCAGCCCGUGGUGGCCGAUGCAGGCGCGUGGUGGUGAACGACGGACCUCACGCUACGUCUCCCGUCCGUCACCGUUGUGGGCCUCCGAUGGAUGAUAUUCUCCAGGAAAAUGAUGAUCCCGCUGAUUGCGUCUUCCAAGGAGGAGGACAUGGAGGUAUUGCUGCGCAAGAUGAACCGCCGGAUCAACUUGCGGUGCCCGUUGAGCAGAACUCACGGCUCACGGGCGGCCAUGAGAGCAGCCAUGUAUGCCAUCGGCAAGACCGCAAGAUCAUCGUGAAGACGGUCGUCCAAGACACAGAGUAACCGCAUAAGAGAAUAAAUAGGCAGGCCACUACUCAUUUGCAGCCCAAUGGUCACCUUUCUCGCCUUUUGCUCAUGUGAUGGCCACGCACUCUUCUAAACUGCAUAAUAAUCAUCCGGCCACACUGAUAGAGAUGACUAUCUGAGCGUAACAAAAAAGAGAAAUACAUGAUGAUAUAUGUAUAUAUAAGCCAGCGAACAUAAUUCCAUGCGUGUAUAUAUAUCUGGAAAUCAAUUGACUUCCCUCUGCACACUUGGUUGAAAUGCUGCAGUAUUUACCGUUAACAAACGACCAUGUGCAAGAAAAAUAGAUACCUCGAGCUAAAUGAGAUCUCCAGGAAUAAAAAUAGCCACUCCAAGUCUAAAUCAGACCCACAAGAAUUUAUGAACUGCAUGUUUUAACUCAAUAAAGUUAGGAUUCAGAUUUGCAGGUGCAUUUGUUAGCUUAAUCAGAAAUAAUGUCCGGAUUUGGGUGCAAGGUUUCACUUGGGAAUUCAGAGUUAGACGUGAAGAGAAUGCAACAAAUUUUAUCUACGUGGUUACAUAAAAGUGUAUGUAUUCAUGCAUGUAUGAACAACCUCAUGAGACAUGACAUAUAUAAUCAUCUGCAGUUUUUUGUGUUGGUGAAGCAUCAAGAAAUUAGUGGACGAUUGGAAUUUGGGGAGAAUCUGGACUAACCUGAUACAUGAGAGAAUUAGAAUAGACAAUGGCAGACAGCGAUAGUUCCUGAUUCGUCCCAUCCUACGCUAUCAGCAGGCGGCCUGUGGUGUAGUUUACGAAUCAGAACUUAAGUUGGAGUUUGAGAUAGAUGUAAUCUGGACUACAAUGAAGGUGGGGAAACUGAAAGGGAUGGCUCACCGAUGGCGAUUGAGAUUCGAUCAAGGCAUAGGGACAGAGGAGGGCCAAGGGAAA